CUAUCACUCCUACGGGGAGGCAGCAGUAGGGAAUCUUCCACAAUGGGCGCAAGCCUGAUGGAGCAACACCGCGUGAGUGAGGAAGGGUUUCGGCUCGUAAAGCUCUGUUGUUAAAGAAGAACACGUAUGAGAGUAACUGUUCAUACGUUGACGGUAUUUAACCAGAAAGUCACGGCUAACUGCGUGCCAGCAGCCGCGGUAAUACGUAGGUGGCAAGCGUUAUCCGGAUUUAUUGGGCGUAAAGAGAGUGCAGGCGGUUUUCUAAGUCUGAUGUGAAAGCCUUCGGCUUAACCGGAGAAGUGCAUCGGAAACUGGAUAACUUGAGUGCAGAAGAGGGUAGUGGAACUCCAUGUGUAGCGGUGGAAUGCGUAGAUAUAUGGAAGAACACCAGUGGCGAAGGCGGCUACCUGGUCUGCAACUGACGCUGAGACUCGAAAGCAUGGGUAGCGAACAGGAUUAGAUACCCUGGUAG
rnacentral:rRNA from 1 species